rnacentral:rRNA from 1 species
UGGGGGAAUUUUGGACAAUGGGCGAAAGCCUGAUCCAGCAAUGCCGCGUGUGUGAAGAAGGCCUUCGGGUUGUAAAGCACUUUUGUCCGGAAAGAAAUCCUUGGCUCUAAUACAGUCGGGGGAUGACGGUACCGGAAGAAUAAGCACCGGCUAACUACGUGCCAGCAGCCGCGGUAAUACGUAGGGUGCAAGCGUUAAUCGGAAUUACUGGGCGUAAAGCGUGCGCAGGCGGUUUGCUAAGACCGAUGUGAAAUCCCCGGGCUCAACCUGGGAACUGCAUUGGUGACUGGCAGGCUAGAGUAUGGCAGAGGGGGGUAGAAUUCCACGUGUAGCAGUGAAAUGCGUAGAGAUGUGGAGGAAUACCGAUGGCGAAGGCAGCCCCCUGGGCCAAUACUGACGCUCAUGCACGAAAGCGUGGGGAGCAAAACAGGAUUAGAUACCCCUGGUAGUCCACGCCCUAAACGAUGUCAACUAGUUGUUGGGGAUUCAUUUCCUUAGUAACGUAGCUAACGCGUGAAGUUGACC